rnacentral:tRNA from 1 species
GUCAGGGUGGCCGAGUGGUUAAGGCGCCUGCCUCAAGUGCAGGUCCCACUUGUGGGGGACGAGGGUUCGAAUCCCUCUCCUGACA